rnacentral:lncRNA from 1 species
UCCGAGUUUUGUGAAACAUUUAAACAUAGAUUAUCAUUUGCACUAGUUAUUGGCAAAUCUUAGAACUUUGUGUUAUACCUGUAUUCGAUUAUUGCCUUUCAUUGACUGAGUCAGGAGAUGUAACACUAACAGUAGCUGGAGAGUGAAUAAGGGCAUUGCCAUUGACAAUCUGAACAACUUCAUUCCUAAGUUCUGGAGUCAUCAUACAUGUAGCUAAAACUUGCGUGGAAGUAUGCUGUCCAACGACAUUGCUAGAUCUGUUUCCCAACGGUGUCGGU